rnacentral:rRNA from 1 species
CCUACGGGGUGCUGCAGUGGUGAAUAUUGCACAAUGGGGGAAACCCUGAUGCAGCGACGCCGCGUGAGUGAAGAAGCGCCUCGGCGCGUAAAGCUCUGUCAGCAGGAACGAUAAUUACGGUACCUGAAGAAGAAGCCCCGGCUAACUACGUGCCAGCAGCCGCGGUAAUACGUAGGGGGCAAGCGUUAACCGGAUUUACUGGGUGUAAAGGGAGCGUAGACGGCGGGGCAAGUCUGGAGUGAAAGGCCGGGGCCCAACCCCGGGACUGCCCUUGGAACUGCAUGGCUGGAGUGCGGGAGGGGCAGGCGGAAUUCCUGGUGUAGCGGUGAAAUGCGUAGAUAUCAGGAGGAACACCGGCGGCGAAGGCGGCCUGCUGGACCGCGACUGACGUUGAGGCUCGAAAGCGUGGGGAGCGAACAGGAUUAGAUACCCGUGUAGUC